rnacentral:rRNA from 1 species
UACGGAGGGAGCUAGCGUUGUUCGGAUAUACUGGGCGUAAAGCGCGCGUAGGCGGCUUUGUAAGUUAGAGGUGAAAGCCCGGAGCUUAACUCCGGAAUUGCCUUUAAGACUGCAUCGCUAGAAUUGUGGAGAGGUAAGUGGAAUUCCGAGUGUAGAGGUGAAAUUCGUAGAUAUUCGGAAGAACACCAGUGGCGAAGGCGACUUACUGGACACAUAUUGACGCUGAGGUGCGAAAGCGUGGGGAGCAAACAGG